rnacentral:ncRNA from 2 species
GGGGAAGUCCGGUCGAAUUCCGGCGCUGACCCGCAACGGUAGGCCGAACGUCACGCUGCACGACGCUCGGCGAGCCCGAUCACCC